AAGAGUCCCAAGCCAAGAAGGGAGCAAAGAUCCCCUGAGGCCUCGCCAAGCUGCUGUGCUGAGCGGAAUCUCAGGAGGCAAAUUUGAAUGGGGACAAACUGUGCAAAGCCAGUGACCCGAGACCAGCAGUGGAGACGCCUGACUCAGCACCAGUGGGGACACUGGAGCAAUAUCUACACGAGUGUUCGACCAAACACCUGGGCACCGGAGCUCAGCCCCACUGACCCGUCGACGGAACCACCCCAGCUGCAUCAACCCAAGGAGAGGACAACAGCCAGGCAAGACUGGAUGGUAGAAGGCGAGUGGGAAAGCCAUGAGAAGCUCAGUUCCCCACACUGUGAACAGCAGAGUGGUGACGACACCCCCCCCCCACCAGAAGAUCACUGGUUACCCACCUGCAGUGCACCUAGGCCCUCUGCUGGGUGCUGGGGAGCUACAGCACGCCCACGUCACCGUAAAGUGAGCCCAACAGCACCAGCAGCCAA